GCUACCACUAGUACAUCUUAUCGAGUGAUAACAUUCAUGUUAAAUAUUGUUCAUUUUCUCCUACAAAUUAAAUAUUUUACAGUACCUACCUCAUCAGUGAUGCUUGAUAAAGUUGAAGUGUUGGCACUCUGCAGGCCACUGAAGCAACAGAAGCUCACUGAUAUGUGAAUAAACCAAGGGGAAACAUCCUGGGCUGAGCGAUGAGGCCGAUAAGGAAGUGUAAAAAGCUGCAGUUCACUGGGUGGACACAGAGGGCCGGCUCCAAGAAACAGAAAGUCCCAUAGACUCCCAUGUUCAAAAGGCAGACUUUAGAGCAGAAUUAAACCUGUUUACAGCAAGGUUCAAAACUUGGUUUUAGUCUCAAUCGCGAGGUUCUUUCUUAAUGACAACUGUGAGGGGGGUGAAUUUUUUUAAGCGAUAUAUAGGUUUGAAAUUCACGUCACGUCACAGUCAGCGCGACGACUGCAACUCCUAGCCUGCUGCCUGCUCGGCUCUACUGGAGCUAACAGGCUAAUCCCCGGUCAGUGAACAGCACCUGAGACUGUGGAAAGGCCAGUGGCGGCUGGUGAAAAUUAUUCUAGGUGGGGCUGUAGGUGCCAGAAGCUUUCGGUAACUAUCCCAAUAAAAGAACCCAAACCAAAAGAUACCAUUGUUUUAGGGAUAAACAAUAAUUAUUUAAUUGCCCUUUAAAAACAACAGUUUGACAGAUAAUGACAAUGAUAUGAGAUGUAUAUUAGUGAAUACUCUUAAUACAAAAUUCAAGUUCUUGAGAGACAUUUACAAGUGGUUGAUGAUUAAAAAUAACUAUAUACAAAGAAAAACUGUCUCAUAGGAACAUAAAAUGUACCAAUUGGAUUACAUAUAUUAGUGAAUACUCUUAGUACAAAUUACAAUAUCAUUGUAUAUUAUUGUAAUAUUUACAGGUGGAUGAUUAAAGUUAACUAUAUACAGUUAGCAUUAGCUGUAAGGUGGAAUCAGGGUCAGCUAUGGCAUGAUAGAAGCAAGAGCGGCAGACAACGUUACUCACCCCGCUGGUGCGCGCUACCGCACUCGUCUUCCCCGGUGGAGCGACUCCACGCUGUAAGCCAGUCCGGCAAUGUGACAAGGUGUCUCAGUCAAAUGUGCCGACCAAGGUCCCGGAACGAAACAACAGCGCCAGGGAGACGCGAGUAAGAGUGGGCUGCUGCCUUAAAUAGGGGCUGACAGCGCCCCCAGUGGCAGGGAGGGCACCCGCAUCUGGCCACACUAGGAUACUUAAAGCUUGGUGCGAUAUUUUUAGCGCCCCAAGCUUAUCAAAUUUGAUGACGCUCAUUGGCUAAUUUACCCGUUGCUAUGUGUUUUUUUGCCUCAGCAACAGCCUACCAUUGGCUGAGCUGCUGCAGUGCUGGGGCGACUUUCCCAGCGCCCCAGGAGGGAGGAGAAAUGACCAUGGACACAAAUUAUCCCCUAACUAAUGGUUUAUAUUAUAUGUAUGACUGGUUCUUGAUGAUUCAAAACAUAUUUAUUUGUAGAAUAAGCAGUACUUAAAUUAUUAUUUUGAAAAAAAUAAAAAAAUAAAAAUAAUUUUUAAAAAUCACUUUCAAUCAGGUGGGGCGGCGCCCUAGCGCCCCCUAUUGGCCAGCCGCCACUGGGAAAGGCUUCCACUCACAUAUCGGAUGAAUAACACGGUUUGAUGUUCUGCUUGUUCUCCUGACGGACAAGUUAAAGACGUCUGCGCUCCCGCUUCUGUGGAUGUCCAACAUGAGCCACAACUGGAAUCCAACCAGACUGAACACUGAGUCAUCACUUUAACACUGACUCCAGGGAUGGACGAGCCUGAGGGACACAGCUGUGAUGACCGUGUUCUGUCUCUUAUGGCAAAGAAGAAAAAUAAAACACUGGGUUCUUAUCUAAAGUGUAUCAAAUCAGAAAGCAAAAGAUAAACAUUGUUCUAAUAAGUGUACAUUUUUUAACCAACCAUAAUGAAUAUAGAAAUUAACUCUAUUAUCCAUGACACUUAGCAAUGACUGCCAACUCUAAACAGUUGCAGGCCAUCUUUAGUUAAGGGAGGAAAACAUGAAGUGUUGUGCAGGUCGUCCUCAUGUUGACCAGCCUGAAGCUGCCGAUCUCCACCAUGUUGCUGCUGAGGACAUCAGGUGCAGUUCUUCAUCUAAUGAAAAGAAGAAACUCACUAUUAAAGAAUGUUUUGUGUUGUGUAUGAAGCACCACAGAUGUCGGACAGAACCGAUGUACUGGGCUCUGGGUUUGUAUCCUCAUGGUUAAAUGCACAUAUUUUAAGUUGCCUUGGAUAAAAGUGCUGAAAGAAAUAAAACAUUUUACAAAUAGAUCAAAUGUCUUUCUACCUAAUCUGUAAUAUUCAAGGUGAUAAUCUCCCACAGAGCUGUUGAUAACAGUCCACAUCAAGUCUCUCCACUUCCCUCAGUGUGAAGACAUAAUUAUAUAAUUAAUACGAGAACUGUCUAAACUGUCUAAUUCACUCAUUCCAUAACAGGCUAAAUAAACGAGGUGCAAUAGUAAUGGUGGAUAUACCAGCCUGUAUCAGAAUAUUUGUGAAACAUAGUUACUAUCACAUGCAACCUUCACAUGUAGCGUAUUGAUAUUAACUUAUUAAAAUAAAAAAUCAAGUCCCAACCAAACACACGACUCUGUAGUUAACUUGCUUCAAUCUGUUCAUUAGACGUGUUAAAUAAACGGUAACUUUUAUAACAAUUACAUAUUAAAAACCACUUGAGGCAUGUUAGCAUAUGAUUAUGAUGAUAUAUAAAGCAAUAGGUUUUGUUGUAUAGUUUCAAGGUUACAUAUCUCUAGUUCAUGGUAAAGACCGCGACCAUCCGGCUGGGCAGCGCUAGCUGUUAGCACCGGCGACUAAUAUGUCGACGGUAGCUGGUUAGCCGUAGCC